AGUAAACGGCGGCCGUAACUAUAACGGUCCUAAGGUAGCGAAAUUCCUUGUCGGGCAAGUUCCGACCUGCACGAAUGGCAUAACGAUGGCCACACUGUCUCCUCCUGAGACUCAGUGAAGUUGAAGUGUUUGUGAUGAUGCAAUCUCCCCGCGGCUAGACGGAAAGACCCCAUGAACCUUUACUGUAGCUUUGCAUUGGACUUUGAACCGAUCUGUGUAGGAUAGGCGGGAGCCUGUGAAACCACAACGCCAGUUGUGGCGGAGGCGUCCUUGAAAUACCGCCCUGAUUUGUUUGAGGUUCUAACCUGGGACAGUUAUCCUGUCCGGGGACCGUGCAUGGUAGGCAGUUUGACUGGGGCGGUCUCCUCCUAAAGGGUAACGGAGGAGUGCGAAGGUACGCUAGGUACGGUCGGAAAUCGUGCUGAUAGUGCAAUGGCAAAAGCGUGCUUGACUGCGAGACCCACAAGUCGAGCAGAUACGAAAGUAGGUCAUAGUGAUCCGGUGGCUCUGUAUGGAAGGGCCAUCGCUCAACGGAUAAAAGGUACUCUGGGGAUAACAGGCUGAUACCGCCCAAGAGUUCAUAUCGACGGCGGUGUUUGGCACCUCGAUGUCGGCUCAUCUCAUCCUGGGGCUGUAGCCGGUCCCAAGGGUAUGGCUGUUCGCCAUUUAAAGAGGUACGUGAGCUGGGUUUAAAACGUCGUGAGACAGUUUUGUCCCUAUCUGCCGUGGGCGCUGGAAGAUUGACGGGGGCUGCUCCUAGUACGAGAGGACCGGAGUGGACUCACCUCUGGUGUACCGGUUGUCACGCCAGUGGCAUCGCCGGGUAGCUAUGUGGGGAAGAGAUAACCGCUGAAAGCAUCUAAGCGGGAAACUUGCCUGAAGAUAAGUCUUCCUGGAGGCUAGACCUCCCUAAAGAGUCGUUCGAGACCAGGACGUUGAUAGGAUGGGUGUGUAAGUGCUGUGAGGCACUCAGCUAACCAUUACUAAUUGCUCGUGAAGCUUGAUCCU
rnacentral:rRNA from 1 species